rfam:Eutrema salsugineum unplaced genomic scaffold scaffold_2, whole genome shotgun sequence.
AACGGCGAGGAUGAUGAUUAAAUUAGAUGUGCGAAUUGGGGGUAAUUUCCUUUUAAUGAGCUUAAAACUUUUUGAGGCAUAUUCAUAUAUCUGACAUCGCCGUC